GACGAACGCUGGCGGCGUGCCUAAUACAUGCAAGUCGAGCGGACAGAAGGGAGCUUGCUCCCGGAAGUUAGCGGCGGACGGGUGAGUAACACGUGGGCAACCUACCCUGUAGAUCGGGAUAACAUCGAGAAAUCGGUGCUAAUACCGGAUAAUCAUUUGAAGUGCAUGCUUCGAAUGUAAAAGAUGGCUCCGGCUAUCACUACGGGAUGGGCCCGCGGCACAUUAGCUAGUUGGUAAGGUAAUGGCUUACCAAGGCAACGAUGCGUAGCCGACCUGAGAGGGUGAUCGGCCACACUGGGACUGAAACACGGCCCAGACUCCUACGGGAGGCAGCAGUAGGGAAUCUUCCGCAAUGGACGAGAGUCUGACGGAGCAACGCCGCGUGAGUGAUGAAGGUUUUCGGAUCGUAAAGCUCUGUUGUUAGGGAAGAACAAGUGCCGUUUGAAUAAGGCGGCACCUUGACGGUACCUAACCAGAAAGCCACGGCUAACUACGUGCCAGCCGCCGCGGUAACAC
rnacentral:rRNA from 1 species